rnacentral:rRNA from 1 species
ACCUGAAAGAUCAGGUGUUCCCUCCGGGGACAGAAUGACAGGUGGUGCAUGGUUGUCGUCAGCUCGUAUCGUGAGAUGUUGGGUUAAGUCCCGCAACGAGCGCAACCCUUAUUGCCAGUUGCCAGCAUUCAGUUGGACACUCUGACAAGACUGCCGGUGACAAACCGGAGGAAGGUGGGGAUGACGUCAAAUCAUCAUGCCCCUUAUGACCUGGGCUACACACGUGCUACAAUGGACGAUACAACGAGUUGCUAGACCGCGAGGUUAAGCUAAUCUCUUAAAGUCGUUCUCAGUUCGGAUUGCAGGCUGCAACUCGCCUGCAUGAAGUCGGAAUCGCUAGUAAUCACGGAUCAGCAUGCCGCGGUGAAUACGUUCCCGGGGUCUUGUACACACCGA